UGACGGAAAGGCACCACCAGGCGUGGAGCCUGCGGCUUAAUUUGACUCAACACGGGCCAUCUCACCAGGCCAGCACUCUUGUACGAUUGACAGAUUGAGAGCUCUUUCUCGAUUCAGUGGAUGGUGGUGCAUGGCCGUUCUUAGUUGGUGGAGUGAUCUGUCUGGUUAAUUCCGAUAACGAACGAGACUCUCCCCUGCUAACUAGUCGGUUGGAUCUUGAUCAGCGGGUUGCGUGCCGAGUAACUCUCGCUGUGCGUGGUGCGUAGCUGGGCCUCCGGGUUCGUUGCGUGCUCGCGUGGCGUUGGAUGACUUGGAUCACACUGCACCCCAAGUCCGCCGCUUAUGCUAUAACUCUUCUUAGAGGGAUUCACGGCACUGAAGCCGUAAGAGACUGAGAGCAAUAACAGGUCUGUGAUGCCCUUAGAUGCUCUGGGCCGCACGCGCGCUACAAUGCCGGGCACAGCAGGUGUUUCUCCUUCUCCGACAGGAGCGGGUAACCCUCUGAAAGCCAGUGUUCUUGCAAGUGCUUCCUCCCUCGUGGAGUUGCACAGAGGCGUGCUUGGGCCUGGGACUUGCAAUUCUUUCCCACCAACGAGGAAUGCCUAGUA
rnacentral:rRNA from 1 species